rnacentral:lncRNA from 1 species
CAGUGACACCUAACAGUAUGUAGUGGCAACCCAAUAAAACUGAAAUGAAUCUCUAGAUAUAGUUAACGUAUGAUUUAGUCUUUCUAUCGUGAGUCCCGACUAGAUGGCAGGUCAUGGAUAAAUUAUCAAACCUCAACAUCAGCAUAUGAUAGAUUGAUUAGCUUAAGUCCAGUUGUGACUUCUAUAAAAAUUCUUUUCCAUCAAUCACACUAUUGUGGCUAUAGACUCUUAGACUUAGCCUUUCGAAUCUCAUAGGACUACUCCUCUAUUCAAGGUUAAUAGAUCCUA